rnacentral:rRNA from 1 species
AUGCCUGGUGGUAUUCAGGGCCCCAGGGUCUCCCUAUAUGCGGACGACGCUGCCAUUUUUCUAUCCCCCAUAGCACAUGAUGUGGAAGGCCUUGCUAGCAUUCUACAGAGUUUUGGGGUAGUCUCUGGCCUCGUGACAAAUGUGACCAAGAGCUCCAUCGCCCCCAUCCAAUGCGCCAACAUUAACUUGGAGGAGAUUCUGGAGAACUUCCCGGCGACUACGACCCCCUUCCUCAUUAAGUAUCUGGGGUUGCCCCUCACCCUCGGAAGACUUAGGCGUGUGGACCUUCAACCCUACAUCCACAAAGCAGUGGCUCGUCUUAGCCCGUGGAAAGGAAAGUUCCUGAAUCGUGCCGGGUGCACUGCUCUGGUUAAGUCCGUGCUCUCCUCCAUGCCAAUCUUCUUGCUGACGGCUUUAAAGGCUGACAAAGGCAUCCUCAAGGCCUUUGCGAAGAUCAGUCGCGGCAUGCUCUGGGCCUGUAAGGAGGCGGUUAGUGGAGGGAAAUGCAAAGUCAACUGG